UACGUUGUUUCAAUAGAAAACCUGAAUGCUUUUUUAGGCUAUUACUGUGCACAUUCAGUUCCUCUUUUAACAUUAUCAUCAGCAUUUUUUCCUUACAGAUUUAGUUUUGAAAGUAAUACCUAUAUAAUAGUAAUCAACUUUAUAAACACACCCACCCCCAACAUUAAAUUCUGGAAAGAAUUACAUUCUUGAAAAUUAAAAACUUGUCAAGACAUUCUAAGAGCUCAAGAGGCGAUGCAUUUUAGAGCACUAAGUACCUUCUCCCUUCUAAGAGUUAGUACCUGCUGUAGGAUCUUCAUCUGGCAAUCGAACAAGUGUGUAGCAUAUUCCUGGCUGAUUGUAAGGGAGGCUGGGAGCUGGGAUACAGCACAGCACUUCAUAGGAAUCGGAUGGUUCCAUCUGCACUGUUACUUUCUCCAGCAGCUGGUCAUUUAGAGUGUUGGUACAGUCAAACUGAAAAGUCAGCAAUAGAAAACUUGUAAAGAAUAAGAAAUGCUUUCCAAUAAGUGGUUUCUACUCACUCAUAGUUCACAGUUCAGCUCUGGCAUCUACUAUACUCAACACUAAGUAGCACUGUAGGUCUCCUAAGGCUUUUCUUCUUUUUGUAUUAGAUUGAAGGCAAGCCUUAUACCUGCCAUGAGUGUUCUCCCAACUGUGUCUGUGAAACAGACAGGCUUAUUAUGAGUGCUUUGUGCUGAGCCAUCAGUGUGUGUCUUCCUGAGUCUGUCUCUACUUCAAGGUGUUACAAAGCUAAGUUCUGUGACCAACACACUUAGUUGACCUUGUUUAAAUACUGAUUUUUAAAAAAUUAUGCUGUAUAUCUAUUUUUGGAACAUUUUAAUUUUAUAUCCUUUUAGAUUUUAGUUAUCAAAAAUAGCCCAUCAGAGGAAGAAACUUAGUAUACAUCUAAAAAGAAAACUGGAAGUGUUGCUUAAUCAAUCCUUUAUGAAAGGAACUAGAAUCAUAAACUAUAGGGAAGUACUAUUUGUCUCCAAGUAUAGCAGCUUGUACUUAAAGGCUAUAAAAGAACCAAGAGUUAGUUUGUUAUCUCACCUGGAAUACAAUAUGGUCAGUAAACAUGUGCUUCACACAGCGAACGAAAUACUCUGUCUCUGCUUCUGUAAGCUGCACAGGCUCAGAAGACUUAAACAAGGGUCCCAGGUUCAUAAACUCAGGAAUGGCAGCUAACUGUUCUGUUAAGUACAAAGAGAAAGAAAAUACAAGUACAGUAUGAAGAAGACAGGAAGAGACUUUAUUAAAAUGCUUUAGUUACCACAGAGUAGAAAGAGCGGUUAAUUUUAAGGUUUUACUAACAAUUGAAAAGUCAAUUUGGAGAUCUCCAAACUUCUGUGAAAUAAUCCUUUAAGUUGCCAAGUUUAUAUACUAGAUUCCUUUAUGUAGGAGGGAAGAAGAAACUAAAUUGCUAAUUCUUUCUCUCUUAACCAACAAAAUAUGCACAAGAAUAACAGUCCCAGGUAGUAAACUAGUAACUGGAAAGUCCAUGAACAGCAGGUAGCUCCAGCCACUAAAGCCUAUGACACAGGAAAAUGUACAGAAUUGAGAAUUAAUCAAAAUGAAUAAAAGCAGUGGAUGUUAUUAAUUUAUAAUGCCUAGGGAUUAAAAACUAUUGUAUUCAUAAAAAUAUACCUUGGAAAAUGUCUUGCCUGGAAGGAGCCAACUUCUCUGGCUUAGGAGUCACAAGUGUAAUUUCUAGAAAGACAGAAAUAAGCAGUCAAGUGAAUUUUUUUCUACUUCUAACUGACCUUGUAUACAGAAAGAAAUGAAGGCAAUAACUUCUAGUAGAUACACAGUGGCAAACAGCUUCAAAUAUUGUGAUAUUUUGUAUUAAAUAAUUAAAAUUUUUUUUCAACUUAGGACAUAUUUCUUAUUCUGGCUUUUGGAUAAAACCAAAGAGGCUUAAAAAUGAAAAUCUUAAAUUUAAAAAAUGUCAUCUAUCUUAGUACUAAAAGAUCUCAAGGAAUAAAAAAAAAAGUAUU
rnacentral:lncRNA from 1 species